GUCGCUAAAGGGAUGGACCUGCGAUGCAUUAGCUAGUUGGUAAGGGUAACGGGCUUACCAAGGCGAUGAUGCAUAGCCCGAGUUGAGAGACUGAUCGGGCCACAUUGGGACUGAGACACGGGCCCAAACUCCUACGGGAGGCGGCAGUAGGGAAUCUUCCACAAUGGACGAAAAGUCUGAUGGAGCAAACGCCGCGUGAGUGAAGAAGGUUUUCGGGAUCGUAAAGCUCUGUUGUUGGUGAAGAAGGAUAGAGGUAGUAACUGGCCCUUUAUUUGACGGUAAUCAACCAGAAAGUCACGGGCUAACUACGUGGCAGCAGCCGCGGUAAAU
rnacentral:rRNA from 1 species